rnacentral:rRNA from 1 species
ACGCCCUGCUCAAUCCACUCUACACCUGUGCACUUAUUGUGGGUUUCGGGGGGCUUUUUGCCACUCGUACCUAUGUUUAUUUACAAACGCUUCAGUAAAAGAAUGUGUAUUGCGAUAACGCAUCUAUAUACAACUUUCAGCAACGGAUCUCUUGGCUCUCGCAUCGAUGAAGAACGCAGCGAAAUGCGAUAAGUAAUGUGAAUUGCAGAAUUCAGUGAAUCAUCGAAUCUUUGAACGCACCUUGCGCUCCUUGGUAUUCCGAGGAGCACGCCUGUUUGAGUGUCAUGAAAUCAUCAACUUAUAAGCCUUUCAUGGGUCUAUAAGCUUGGACUUGGAGGCCUGUCGGCGGUCAACGUCGGCUCCUCUCAAAUGUAUUAGCUUGGUUCCUUGCGGAUCGGCUCCCGGUGUGAUAAUGUCUACGCUGUGACCGUGAAGCGUUUGGCGAGCUUCUAAUCGUCUCGUGAGAGACAGCUUCAUUGACUCUGACCU